rnacentral:lncRNA from 1 species
AAAAUAUUCCUCCUUAAAAAAUGGAGCGUGUUUGAGGCGCCGGUGUUCUGGAGAGGACUGGUGGGCAGCCUUCCAGCUACAGGCAGCAACUAGAUGGAGAGAUCUGAGGCCAUGCUGUUUUGCUAAUCACCAGAUCAUUCAGAAGAUCAGGUUCCAGUUCAGUUUCUGGAGCAGAUAAGAUUCCAUGAGCUGCAUGAAUCUUGGAGAUUCAGAAGAUGGUCUCAGCCGGCAAGAUUGGUCAUGGCCAUUGGCUUUUUCUGAAGCAGCAGUCCAGCGUCAGUCAUCAGCAAAAUGGUGACAAGAGACAGCUUCACUGGCUUUGUGAUCCCUGGAUCUCAUCUAAAUUGACGUUCUUAAAGUCAGCAGUUUCAGUGAUGGCUCCCUGAUUCUCCACCUUCCUGACUGUGGUAGGAGAGCAGUUCCCCUGCUGGGCUCAUUCUGUCGUGUUGUUCUCGAUGCUAUUUCUGGAAGCCUAACUCAGAGCUUUCCAGUCCUUCCAGGAUUGUGCGAACUCCUUGUUUCCU